rnacentral:rRNA from 1 species
GACGAACGCUGGCGGCGUGCUUAACACAUGCAAGUCGAACGGAAAGGCCCUUCUUUUGUGGUGUGCUCGAGUGGCGAACGUGUGAGUAACACGUGAUUAACCUGCCCUUGACUUUGGGCUAACUUCAUGAAACUGGUGCUAAUACCGGAUAGGAGCUCCUGCUGCAUGGUGUGGGUUGGAAAGUUUCGGCGGUUGGGGAUGGACUCGCGGCUUAUCAGCUUGUUGGUGGGGUAGUGGCUUACCAAGGCUUUGACGGGUAGCCGGCCUGAGAGGGUGACCGGCCACAUUGGGACUGAGAUACGGCCCAGACUCCUACGGGAGGCAGCAGUGGGGAAUAUUGCACAAUGGGCGGAAGCCUGAUGCAGCAACGCCGCGUGCGGGAUGACGGCCUUCGGGUUGCAAACCGCUUUCGCCUGUGACGAAGCGUGAGUGACGGUAAUGGGUAAAGAAGCACCGGCUAACUACGUG